rnacentral:lncRNA from 1 species
ACACAAGGAGGGGUAGCAGCAACUUCUAAUUGGUGGUACAACCAAAUAUGGACAUUUCAUUAGUAACUUCUUAUCUACUCUUAGGAGACCUUUUAGCUACAAUUCUCACAAAAAAUCACAUUUCUUUGGCCAUUGAUAAGUGUGUUUAAGGUGCUUAUGGCUUAUCUAUUGCCUAAGUAUGUUGUUAGUCCCUCACUUUUUGUGUUUGAACUGUUUUCUUGUUAUUUUCAGGUUUUUGGAGCUAUUUUGGGUGGAAAUAUUUAUGAAUGAGGUACCAUGGGAGGAGCCAAGAAGGUUGGAGGGAGAAGGACUUGAAGAAUUGAUACAAAAGUGAUGGAAUUUGGAGUUGGUGGGAUGUGCAAAAGCAAGGCAUACACACACUUAAGCCAAUGCAAGAAUUUUGGAUAAUUGAGCACAAUGAGUGAACACAGAGGAACACAAGACUUUGUGUAUGUAAAGGCUUUGGCAUCCAAAAACCCAAUGCAUAUAGCCUACACAUGGAAUCUGCGAAG